rnacentral:rRNA from 1 species
GACGAACGCUGGCGGCGUGCUUAACACAUGCAAGUCGAACGGAAAGGCCCUGCUUUUGUGGGGUGCUCGAGUGGCGAACGGGUGAGUAACACGUGAGUAACCUGCCCUUGACUUUGGGAUAACUUCAGGAAACUGGGGCUAAUACCGGAUAGGAGCUCCUGCUGCAUGGUGGGGGUUGGAAAGUUUCGGCGGUUGGGGAUGGACUCGCGGCUUAUCAGCUUGUUGGUGGGGUAGUGGCUUACCAAGGCUUUGACGGGUAGCCGGCCUGAGAGGGUGACCGGCCACAUUGGGACUGAGAUACGGCCCAGACUCCUACGGGAGGCAGCAGUGGGGAAUAUUGCACAAUGGGCGGAAGCCUGAUGCAGCGACGCCGCGUGCGGGAUGACGGCCUUCGGGUUGUAAACCGCUUUCGCCUGUGACGAAGCGUGAGUGACGGUAAUGGGUAAAGAAGCACCGGCUAACUACGUGCCAGCAGCCGCGGUGAUACGUAGGGUGCGAGCGUUGUCCGGAUUUAUUGGGCGUAAAGGGCUCGUAGGUGGUUGAUCGCGUCGGAAGUGUAAUCUUGGGGCUUAACCCUGAGCGUGCUUUCGAUACGGGUUGACUUGAGGAAGGUAGGGGAGAAUGGAAUUCCUGGUGGAGCGGUGGAAUGCGCAGAUAUCAGGAGGAACACCAGUGGCGAAGGCGGUUCUCUGGGCCUUUCCUGACGCUGAGGAGCGAAAGCGUGGGGAGCGAACAGGCUUAGAUACCCUGGUAGUCCACGCUGUAAACGGUGGGUACUAGGUGUGGGGUCCAUUCCACGGGUUCCGUGCCGUAGCUAACGCUUUAAGUACCCCGCCUGGGGAGUACGGCCGCAAGGCUAAAACUCAAAGGAGUUGACGGGGCCCCGCACAAGCGGCGGAGCAUGCGGAUUAAUUCGAUGCAACGCGUAGAACCUUACCUGGGUUUGACAUGGAUCGGGAGUGCUCAGAGAUGGGUGUGCCUCUUUUGGGGUCGGUUCACAGGUGGUGCAUGGCUGUCGUCAGCUCGUGUCGUGAGAUGUUGGGUUAAGUCCCGCAACGAGCGCAACCCUUGUUCACUGUUGCCAGCACGUUAUGGUGGGGACUCAGUGGAGACCGCCGGGGUCAACUCGGAGGAAGGUGGGGAUGACGUCAAGUCAUCAUGCCCCUUAUGCCCAGGGCUUCACGCAUGCUACAAUGGCUGGUACAGAGAGUGGCGAGCCUGUGAGGGUGAGCGAAUCUCGGAAAGCCGGUCUCAGUUCGGAUUGGGGUCUGCAACUCGACCUCAUGAAGUCGGAGUCGCUAGUAAUCGCAGAUCAGCAACGCUGCGGUGAAUACGUUCCCGGGGCU